rnacentral:rRNA from 1 species
UACAGAGGUGCCGAGCGUUAUGCGGAAUCACUGGGCUUAAAGCGUGUGUAGGCGGACCGUUAAGUACCUUGUGAAAUCCCACGGCUCAACCGUGGAACGGCUGGGUAUACUGGCGGUCUUGGGCCACUCAGGGGCGAGCGGAACAAGUGGUGGAGCGGUGAAAUGCGUAGAUAUCACUUGGAACGCCGACGGUGAAAACAGCUCGCUGGGAGUGUGCCGACGCUGAGACACGAAAGCCAGGGGAGCGAACGGG